rnacentral:rRNA from 1 species
GAGGGAAAGGUGAAAAGCACCCCGGGAGGGGAGUGAAAUAGAACCUGAAACCGUGUGCCUACAACAAGUUCGAGCCCGUUAAUGGGUGAGAGCGUGCCUUUUGUAGAAUGAACCGGCGAGUUACGUUAUGAUGCGAGGUUAAGUUGAAGAGACGGAGCCGUAGGGAAACCGAGUCUGAAUAGGGCGCCUUAGUAUCAUGACGUAGACCCGAAACCAUGUGACCUACCCAUGAGCAGGUUGAAGGUGCGGUAAGACGCACUGGAGGACCGAACCAGGGCACGUUGAAAAGUGCUUGGAUGACUUGUGGGUAGCGGAGAAAUUCCAAACGAACUUGGAGAUAGCUGGUUCUCUCCGAAAUAGCUUUAGGGCUAGCGUCGACAUUAGAGAUUCUUGGAGGUAGAGCACUGUUUGGGUGAGGGGUCCAUCCCGGAUUACCAAUCUCAGAUAAACUCCGAAUGCCAAUGAAUUAUGGUCGGCAGUCAGACUGCGAGUGCUAAGAUCCGUAGUCGAAAGGGAAACAGCCCAGACCACCAGCUAAGGUCCCAAAAUAAUUGUUAAGUGGAAAAGGAUGUGGGGUUGCACAGACAACUAGGAUGUUAGCUUAGAAGCAGCUAUUCAUUCAAAGAGUGCGUAAUAGCUCACUAGUCGAGUGACCCUGCGCCGAAAAUGUACCGGGGCUAAAACAAUUUACCGAAGCUGUGGAUACCUUUAUAGGUAUGGUAGGAGAGCGUUCUAUGUGUGAUGAAGGUAUACCGUGAGGAGUGCUGGAACGCAUAGAAGUGAGAAUGCCGGUAUGAGUAGCGAAAGACAGGUGAGAAUCCUGUCCACCGUAAGACUAAGGUUUCCAGGGGAAGGCUCGUCCGCCCUGGGUUAGUCGGGACCUAAGGAGAGACCGAAAGGUGUAUCCGAUGGACAACAGGUUGAUAUUCCUGUACUAGAGUAUGUAGUGAUGGAGGGACGCAGUAGGCUAACUAAAGCAGACGAUUGGAAGAGUCUGUCUAAGCAGUGAGGUGUGAAUUGAGUCAAAUGCUUAAUUCUAUAACAUUGAGCUGUGAUGGGGAGCGAAGUUUAGUAGCGAAGUUAGUGACGUCACACUGCCAAGAAAAGCUUCUAGCGUUUAAACAUACUCUACCCGUACCGCAAACCGACACAGGUAGUCGAGGCGAGUAGCCUCAGGUGAGCGAGAGAACUCUCGUUAAGGAACUCGGCAAAAUGACCCCGUAACUUCGGGAGAAGGGGUGCUGACUUUAAGUCAGCCGCAGUGAAUAGGCCCAAGCAACUGUUUAUCAAAAACACAGCUCUCUGCUAAAUCGUAAGAUGAUGUAUAGGGGGUGACGCCUGCCCGGUGCUGGAAGGUUAAGAGGAGUGCUUAGCGUAAGCGAAGGUAUGAAUUGAAGCCCCAGUAAACGGCGGCCGUAACUAUAACGGUCCUAAGGUAGCGAAAUUCCUUGUCGGGUAAGUUCCGACCCGCACGAAAGGCGUAAUGAUUUGGGCACUGUCUCAACGAGAGACUCGGUGAAAUUUUAGUACCUGUGAAGAUGCAGGUUACCCGCGACAGGACGGAAAGACCCCAUGGAGCUUUACUGCAGUUUGAUAUUGAGUGUCUGUACCACAUGUACAGGAUAGGUAGGAGUCUAAGAGAUCGGGACGCCAGUUUCGAAGGAGACGCUGUUGGGAUACUACCCUUGUGUUAUGGCCACUCUAACCCAGAUAGGUGAUCCCUAUCGGAGACAGUGUCUGACGGGCAGUUUGACUGGGGCGGUCGCCUCCUAAAAGGUAACGGAGGCGCCCAAAGG